rnacentral:lncRNA from 1 species
AUUUCACAUUGGUUUUAUGGAUGUAAACUAGAGCUUCAACAAACACAGAAAGCCACUCCAAACACAGAAAGAUGAUCUUAAAAAAAAAAGUCAAUAAAUAAGCAAAAUAAAAACACCACAGUUCAAGACAGAGUCUUACAUAAAAAUCUAGGAAAGAACAGGCCUACUAAGGAAAAAAUAAAAAGAGGACACAAGGAGAGGCUGGACAACCAAGAGCCGGAGGUUUUAUCUAUAGACCUGUUUUGAAUAGCUUUUCCGGCAGGUACCUAAAAACUGUGAGGUUUUUCCAUAUCUCAGCAACACAUGUGCUCAAAGAACUAAUUAUGACAGGCUUUCCUCAAAGCUCUGACAGCAGAAUGGUCCAGACAUCAUGCAGGGCACACCAUUUGUCCUUCAGGAUGUCCAUGUAGAUAAUGUCCUGGCUGUCCAUGCGGGGGCAAGAGCACUGCGUGAUGAUCCUCAGGAUCACCAUGUGCUUAGUAACCAUGGAAGAAACAAACAAGCUGCUGAUUUUCAUCAUCCUUGAGGCUCUAGAAUCUAUAAAAUAAAAAACAGCAAAAAAAAGGAGCAAAAAUAAUAUUUUAUUCUAAACAAGUGUUAGCCAAGACUAGUAUUACAACAAUUAAUACAUUAAUUACAAUAUAUUAAUUCUAAUAUGCUUUAAAUUGAUCACUCUUUUUAACAAACAAUCUAGUGGCUCACACUGCCCAGGUC